GAUCCAGUAGGGGUUCUGAGAGGAAGGUCCCCCACAUUGGAACUGAGACACGGUCCAAACUCCUACGGGAGGCAGCAGUGAGGAAUAUUGGUCAAUGGGCGAGAGCCUGAACCAGCCAAGUAGCGUGCAGGAUGUACGGCCCUAUGGGUUGUAAACUGCUUUUAUAUGGGAAUAAAGUGAGGGGACGUGUCCCUUUAUUGCAUGUACCAUACGAAUAAGGACCGGCUAAUUCCGUGCCAGCAGCCGCGGUAAU
rnacentral:rRNA from 1 species